CUUGGUCAUUUAGAGGAAGUAAAAGUCGUAACAAGGUUUCCGUAGGUGAACCUGCGGAAGGAUCAUUAGUGAAUCUAGGACGUCCAACUUAACUUGGAGUCCGAACUCUCACUUUCUAACCCUGUGCAUCUGUUAAUUGGAAUAGUAGCUCUUCGGAGUGAACCACCAUUCACUUAUAAAACACAAAGUCUAUGAAUGUAUACAAAUUUAUAACAAAACAAAACUUUCAACAACGGAUCUCUUGGCUCUCGCAUCGAUGAAGAACGCAGCGAAAUGCGAUACGUAAUGUGAAUUGCAGAAUUCAGUGAAUCAUCGAAUCUUUGAACGCACCUUGCGCUCCUUGGUAUUCCGAGGAGCAUGCCUGUUUGAGUGUCAUGAAAUCUUCAACCCACCUCUUUCUUAGUGAAUCUGGUGGUGCUUGGUUUCUGAGCGCUGCUCUGCUUCGGCUUAGCUCGUUCGUAAUGCAUUAGCAUCCGCAACCGAACUUCGGAUUGACUUGGCGUAAUAGACUAUUCGCUGAGGAUUCUAGUUUACUAGAGCCGAGUUGGGUUAAAGGAAGCUCCUAAUCCUAAAGUCUAUUUUUUGAUUAGAUCUCAAAUCAGGUAGGACUACCCGCUGAACUUAAGCAUAUCAAUAAGCGGAGGAAAAGAAACUAACAAGGAUUCCCCUAGUAGCGGCGAGCGAAGCGGGAAGAGCUCAAAUUUAUAAUCUGGCACCUUCGGUGUCCGAGUUGUAAUCUCUAGAAGUGUUUUCCGCGUUGGACCGCACACAAGUCUGUUGGAAUACAGCGGCAUAGUGGUGAAACCCCCGUAUAUGGUGCGGACGCCCAGCGCUUUGUGAUACACUUUCAAUGAGUCGAGUUGUUUGGGAAU
rnacentral:sRNA from 1 species